AUGGCUGUCCCCACCAGGCGGCCAUUGGCACUGCUCAUCUAUUCUAGGUUUCUAGCCCUCUCUCGCUCUCUCUUUCCCCAGCUCUGCUCACGGCAAAGCACAGCCACAAGUUCGCAAGCCAGCACACGGCAAGCAGCAGAGAGACGAGAGAAAAUGGGCAACGCUCUGCCGUGCUUGGUCGACCAGGGCGUGAAGGCUCUGCCGGCGGCGGCGAAGCCCAGGCGGAGGAUGUACUCGCUCAAGCUUCUCAUGAGGGUCCUCCACAGGAUGAAGAGGACGCCGCGCGGCAACAAGAUUGGCGGCAAGUCCUCUCCGGAAUCUGAUUCUGAAGUAGGUGGAGCUGGCGUGAAGAGUGUCAAGGCCAGCCACGGCAAGGCCUCCCCGAGACGAGCGGCGGCGGGUGGUGGUGGCGGCCAGAGGAAGGGCGUCGUGAGGGUGAAGGUGCUCCUCAGCAAGGAGGAGGCGGCGCGGCUGCUGUCGCUGACCGUGGGGGGCCAGAAGACGGCGGCGCAGAUCGUGGCCGAGAUCAAGAGGAUGGAGGCCCGCCGCGCCGCCGCCAAUGCUGCCGCGGCGGCCGGGUGGCGGCCCGCGCUGGCGAGCAUCCCCGAGGAGUUGUCGUAG
rnacentral:rRNA from 1 species